rnacentral:rRNA from 1 species
AGCGAACGCUGGCGGCAGGCCUAACACAUGCAAGUCGAACGAACCUUUCGGGGUUAGUGGCGGACGGGUGAGUAACACGUGGGAACGUGCCUUUAGGUUCGGAAUAACUCAGGGAAACUUGUGCUAAUACCGAAUGUGCCCUUCGGGGGAAAGAUUUAUCGCCUUUAGAGCGGCCCGCGUCUGAUUAGCUAGUUGGUUGAGGUAAUGGCUCACCAAGGCGACGAUCAGUAGCUGGUCUGAGAGGAUGAUCAGCCACAUUGGGACUGAGACACGGCCCAAACUCCUACGGGAGGCAGCAGUGGGGAAUCUUGCGCAAUGGGCGAAAGCCUGACGCAGCCAUGCCGCGUGAAUGAUGAAGGUCUUAGGAUUGUAAAAUUCUUUCACCGGGGACGAUAAUGACGGUACCGGGAGAAGAAGCCCCGGCUAACUUCGUG